GAUGAAGAACGUAGCGAAAUGCGAUAAGUAGUGUGAAUUGCAGAAUUCAGUGAAUCAUCGAAUCUUUGAACGCACAUUGCGCCCCUUGGUAUCCCGAGGGGCAUGCCUGUUCGAGCGUCAUUUCACCACUCAAGCCUGGCUUGGUGUUGGGCGACGUCCUCUUUGGGGACGCGCCUCGAAACGCUCGGCGGCGUGGCACCGGCUUUAAGCGUAGCAGAAUCUUUCGCUUUGUAAGUCGGGGCCCCGUCUGCCGGAAGACCUGCUCGCAAGGUUGACCUCGGAUCAGGCAGGGAUACCCGCUGAACUUAAGCAUAUCAAUAAGCGGAGGA
rnacentral:misc_RNA from 1 species